rnacentral:rRNA from 1 species
UACGUAGGGGGCGAGCGUUGUCCGGAAUUAUUGGGCGUAAAGGGUACGUAGGCGGUUUUUUAAGUCCGAUGUGAAAUCGGUGGGCUCAACCCAUCCAAGCAUUGGAAACUGGAGAACUUGAAUCAUGGAGAGGAAAGUGGAAUUCCUAGUGUAGCGGUGAAAUGCGUAGAUAUUAGGAGGAAUACCGGUGGCGAAGGCGACUUUCUGGACAUGUAUUGACGCUGAGGUACGAAAGCGUGGGGAGCAAACAGGAUUAGAUACCCCGGUAGUCCCUGAGCGGGCUGG